rnacentral:misc_RNA from 1 species
ACGAAUUUCGAUUCAGGUCUUCUGUGCUGGUGGCAACACAUGUGCACGUUGAUCGUAAUUCCAUUCUCCUUUCAAUCGUCCAAGUGUGUUCGGUCGGCCUUUUGGGUCGAAGAAGCGUGGCCGUCAGGCUCGUUUCGUUCUGAGCGCACAUGGGUUAUUUCACCCACUCUGGGUACUCGAAACAAAGAAAACAAAUCAUAUAUAAUUAAA